CCUACGGGUGGCUGCAGUGGGGAAUAUUGGACAAUGGGGGGAACCCUGAUCCAGCCAUGCCGCGUGUGUGAAGAAGGCCCUCGGGUUGUAAAGCACUUUCAGUGAGGAAGAACGCCUGGUGGUUAAUACCCAUCAGGAAAGACAUCACUCACAGAAGAAGCACCGGCUAACUCCGUGCCAGCAGCCGCGGUAAUACGGAGGGUGCGAGCGUUAAUCGGAAUUACUGGGCGUAAAGCGCGCGUAGGUGGCUUGAUAAGCCGGUUGUGAAAGCCCCGGGCUCAACCUGGGAACGGCAUCCGGAACUGUCAAGCUAGAGUGCAGGAGAGGAAGGUAGAAUUCCCGGUGUAGCGGUGAAAUGCGUAGAGAUCGGGAGGAAUACCAGUGGCAAAGGCGGCCUUCAGGACUGACACUGACACUGAGGUGCGAAAGCGUGGGUAGCAAACAGGAUUAGAUACCCUUGUAGUC
rnacentral:rRNA from 1 species